rnacentral:lncRNA from 1 species
GAAAUGUCAUCUGAAAGGACCUGUGGAGAUCAUGCUUCUCACAGCAAGUCUACUCUCAGAUCAGCUGUGGCCAUAUCUGAAAGUAUCCGGGAAACAAGGGUAUUUACUUUUACUGCUACUCUUCUUGGAGCUGAAGUCUUCACAUAAAAGACCUGCUUUAACCCCAAGGCCACCAUCUGAAGCCUGCUUGUACCUCAUCAUUUCCCAGUGUUAUAAAACAAGGAUCAUUUUUUUUCCAGCAUGCAUCGUCUUAUUCUCAUCACAUCCAAGGCAAACUGGACUCCUUUACAAAGAAUGUGUCCAGGAGAACAAGGAGAGUUGCUAUUCCUGUGUAACACGGGGCCACAAACUGCAGCCUAGGACAGCUGGUUGGACAUUAGGAAGAACUUUUUCACCUAGACAGUGCUCCCCAGAAAAGGCUAAAAUCCCCAGUUACCAGAAGACUACAAGACUUGGUUUGGUGCAGGAACAACCAACCUGGCCUAGAUGCAGUGACUGUCCUACAGAUUGUACCAGUGGCUGCUGUGACUGUGAGACUGAAUGACUUUCUGGUAUCUGCACUGUGUAUGAUACCUUCUGGCCUGUUUCUUGAAUUAAUGGGGCACCAUAGCUUAAUCACAUGUUCAUGUGUAUUCAGCUUCAUGUACCACCGUAGAGGUACAUACCAGCUUUAAAGGCUUUAAAGAGAAAUAUCUGAGCUUCAGAGGAUGACAGGAACAGCAGAGAAGAAUCUCACUAAAUACCAUACUACUUUGUGGAGCUCAUACAGUUAAAACAUAUUGUUUAAAUUGACAGGGAUUCAUUCUUAAAAAUAUUCAAGAAAACGCAUGGCUUUGCAUCUUCAAAAAGGAGGUAACUCUUAAUGGAAAGUGCACCUUCAGCACCUAAGCCUGGAUUUUAUCACCUUAACUCACACAACACGAUUUAGGCAAUCCACCUCAAGGACCAUGGCAUCCUGAUGCUCUCCACUGGCUGAUUCAGUAUGUUACAAGCAUGGGAGGAAAUGAAGUCUUGUAAACAAGUAGGGAAAGAUGAAAUGGAGGAGUAAGCAAGUCUCAAAACUUUUAAACAUUAGCAUAUUUUUUUUAUCAGUUUUUCAUCAACUUUGUAUGGCAAGUAAUGAUGUUCAUGGAUUUAUGAUAUUAAAAUAUCUGUUUUCUCCCAAUACUAAAGAAAAGAGACAAAAAUGCAUCAGGCUCAUUCCCAGUAAUCAGACUGCAAUCCUUUGUACUCAGUCUAAUUCACAGUACAAAAUUUACCUUUCUGUCUUCUCCUCUCUGCUUUUAGUCUCAUUCCCAAUGCAGAGAAGAAGUGACCAGGAGUGCAUUUCUGGCAUAAAUUUAAGUGAGAAUGAAAAGAAAUAAAAAAUAAUAAUUAAAAAAAAAAUAAAAAUUC